GGAUUAGAUACCCUGGUAGUCCACGCCGUAAACGAUGUCGACUAGUUGUUGGAGAUCUUAGUAUCUUUGGUGACGAAGCUAACGCGAUAAGUCGACCGCCUGGGGAGUACGGCCGCAAGGUUAAAACUCAAAUGAAUUGACGGGGGCCCGCACAAGCGGUGGAGCAUGUGGUUUAAUUCGAAGCAACGCGAAGAACCUUACCUGGUCUUGACAUCCUGCGAACUUUCCAGAGAUGGAUUGGUGCCUUCGGGAGCGCAGUGACAGGUGCUGCAUGGCUGUCGUCAGCUCGUGCUG
rnacentral:rRNA from 1 species